rnacentral:rRNA from 1 species
UUUCCCAGGGAUGAUAAUGACAGUACCUGGUAAAGAAACCCCGGCUAACUCCGUGCCAGCAGCCGCGGUAAUACGGAGGGGGUUAGCGUUGUUCGGAAUUACUGGGCGUAAAGCGUACGUAGGCGGAUCAGAAAGUAAGGGGUGAAAUCCCAGGGCUCAACCCUGGAACUGCCUCUUAAACUCCUGGUCUUGAGUUCGAGAGAGGUGAGUGGAAUUCCAAGUGUAGAGGUGAAAUUCGUAGAUAUUUGGAGGAACACCAGUGGCGAAGGCGGCUCACUGGCUCGAUACUGACGCUGAGGUACGAAAGUGUGGGGAGCAAACAGGAUUAGAUACCCUGGUAGUCCACACCGUAAACGAUGAAUGCCAGUCGUCGGGCAGUAUACUGUUCGGUGACACACCUAACGGAUUAAGCAUUCCGCCUGGGGAGUACGGUCGCAAGAUUAAAACUCAAAGGAAUUGACGGGGGCCCGCACAAGCGGUGGAGCAUGUGGUAUGUCAAGGGUUGGUAAGGUUCUGCGCGUUGCUUCGAAUUAACCUGUGCUAACCCGAGAGAUCGGGCGUUCACUUCGGUGACGCAGUGACAGGUGCUGCAUGGCUGUCGUCAGCUCGUGUCGUGAGAUGUUCGGUUAAGUCCGGCAACGAGCGCAACCCACAUCCUUAGUUGCCAGCAGUUCGGCUGGGCACUCUAAGGAAACUGCCCGUGAUAAGCGGGAGGAAGGUGUGGAUGACGUCAAGUCCUCAUGGCCCUUACGGGUUGGGCUACACACGUGCUACAAUGGCAGUGACAAUGGGUUAAUCCCCAAAAGCUGUCUCAGUUCGGAUUGGGGUCUGCAACUCGACCCCAUGAAGUCGGAAUCGCUAGUAAUCGUGGAACAGCAUGCCACGGUGAAUACGUUCCCGGGCCUUGUACACACCGCCCGUCACACCAUGGGAGUUGGUUCUACCCGACGGCCGUGCGCCAACCUUUCGAGGAGGCAGCGGACCACGGUAGGAUCAGCGACUGGGGUGAAGUCGUAACAAGGUAACCAUGCUUACGAUCCUAAGACCUU